rnacentral:snRNA from 1 species
GGACAUGAGGGCGAUCUGGCUGCAAAAUCUGUCACCAGUGUUGAUUGGGCUGAUCUGGCCGGCUGAGCAGUGUCCCCCCCUUCCCUCCCACUGCAUGUGUCCUCCCAAAGUUGUGCCCUGGUCUAACAGGACAACCUCCCACACACAGGAGGACCAUUUUCCUGGUCAAGGAUAAAUGGGCUGCUUCGCUCUCCUGCUAAAACCUCCAAACAAGCUCUCAAGAAACUUGCCAUGAGCUGCCGUGUGAUGGCGCACGCCUGUAAUCCCAGCACUCAGGAAGCUGAUGCAGGUGGAUUGCCACAAGUU